rnacentral:rRNA from 1 species
AUGCUUACACAUGCAAGUUGAACGAGACUUUAAAGUUUCGUAGCGAACGGGUGAGUAAAUGCAAAAUACUACCUUCUAGUUUAGCACAAAAUUUUUUUAUAAAAAUAAAAUACUAAAUAAUCAAAAGGUUUUACUUUAAGUAAUUCCGCUAAAAGAUGUUUUUGCUUAAGAUUAGGUCGUUGGUAAUUUAAAAGCUUACCAAGCCUAUGAUCUUUAGUUGGUCUUAGAGGAUGAUCAACCACACUGGAACUGAAAUAAGGUCCAGGCUGAUACGUCGGCCAGCAGUGAGGAAUAUUGGACAAUGAACGAAAGUUUGAUCCAGCAAUACUAUUUAAGUGAUGACUGCUUAUUUAAGUUGUAACAUCCUUUCAUUAAGAACGAUAAUGACGUUAUUUAAAGAGGUAUAGUCCCGGCUAAUACUCGUGCCAGCAGCCGCGGUAAUACGGGAGGGGCAAGCGUUAUCCAGCAUUACUGGGCGUAAAGAGUUCGUAGACGGUAAAGUAAGUUUUUUGUUAAAUUUUAAAACUUAAUUUUAAACCAAGCAAAAAAUACUGCUUUACUUCGAGUUUAAUACAGAAAAGUGGAAUUUUAUAUGAAAAGGUGAAAUUUGCAGAUAUAUAAAGGAAUGCCAGUAGCGAAGGCGACUUCUUAGUAUAAACUGACGUUAAGGAACGAAAGUGUAGGUAGCAAACAGGAUUAGAUACCCUGGUAGUCUACACUGUAAAUUCUGAGUGCUGUAAUUUAAUUGUAAUGUAAUAUUUAUUUAGAUUUUUAAGCUAACGCAAUAAGCACUCCGCCUGAAGAGUACGAUCGCAAGGUGGGAACUCAAGGAAUUGACGGGGGUCUACACUAGUG